CAUUGCAGGCAUAAAUAUGCUCCUGAUGUACCCUCUUUGAUAUUAAUGAUGCUCAUAAUGCAAACGACAUGUAAAAUUCGAAAACUCAUAAUCUUUCGUCAACCAAAUUGUUCCUGAAUUUCCAUUUCUUUCUCCUUCCAAAUUCUUUAAAUAAAAUUCACAUUCAUAUCAUUUCAUCGUUUCCAUUAUCGAACCCAUAUUACAGGUGCAUGUGUUCGUACAUAUGGAACUCUCGCAUCACAUCGAAGGUGCAAAUUAAAUCCUCCAACACGUUCUGGUCACUCCACGAUGACACAAUUAUGUUCGUAGCAAACCAGAACCAAGAUUUCAAUAGGCUUGUUUCCAAAUUAGAUUCACGGAUGCUUGAUCUCAAUCAAUGUUUGGGUUUUUAAUCCCUCAUGUUGGUAUAGCCACUGCAUUAACUGUGCAUGCAGAGCUGUAUAAAGGUUUUGAAGCUGAGGAGGAAGAUAUGUGUUAUCUUAUUGUUUUAAAAAAAAAUGAGGCAUUUUCAAUCUAGACAGGUUGGUUUUGUGGUCUAUCUGAGUAUAUUAAUAUCUCAA